rnacentral:tRNA from 1 species
GCCACCGUAGCUCAGAGGCAGAGCAGUUGUUUCGUAAACAACAGGCCGUCGGUUCGAUUCCGACCGGUGGCUCCA